rnacentral:lncRNA from 1 species
UCUCCCUUCCUAUAUUAGGAAUCAAAUGUAAUGUAACACCAAUUACACAUAUUAAUUAACUUAUCAAUUCAACACAGAAACACAAUAAAAAUCCAACAAAGCAAAAAUUCAAACAAAUCCAAAUUCAAAUCCAAAAUCCUUAUGAAUCAACAACUUUUCGAACUCAAUGCAGAUGAAAAUGAAGCUAACCUCGUUGAGCUGAACUCGCCAGAGAAGAAGCAAAGCAGAGUAAGAACAUCCGUAGCAGAAGAAAUCGAAGCAUUGUGGUGGUGGUGGUUUCCUCUUCUUCAGUCUCACUCUCUCUCUCACAUCAUCCCUGGUUUUCUAGAGAGAGAAAGAGGAAGAGAGAGAAAAUUCUUGAACGUGUCUGAAUGAAGUUAGUUUAGCAGUAAGUAAGUAAAGUUCACAGUUGAAAUAUUUAUUACAUAAUCAAUUAUAGUAUUAAUUUGUUAACUAACCAUUUCUAUAAUCUUUUUUUUUUCUUUUCUGAGUUUAGUUGACUCGUGAAUGAAGGGAGAAAUAGCUGUCAUCUUCUGCUGACCUUUAUUACUACUGCUGUAGCUGAGCAUUUAUUUAUUUAUCUUACAUAUAUUUAAAUGUAUUUUUAACUGGAUUUUCUUUUUU